CUCGCGCAUUUACCGUGUGCAGAGCACUGUCCUGGACUCCUAUCGUCGCUGGGAUCGAUUCCUCACACGUUCUCCCUGCCCACCCCCUGGGGUUCCUCGGGGUGUCUAGGUCUCCCCUCCCCUCGCUGGUCACUCACCCGCAUGGACCGUGGCUGACGUGAGAGCUGCCCCUCUAGGGGGCUGGGUGGAGGACCCCGGAGAGCGCGAUUCCUGGAGGGUCGGAGUUCGGGGCCUCCCCGGCGACGAGUCCAAAACAUCAGCUGCCCCGGAAGGGACGGUGGAGAUGUCGCUGGUCUGUACUAGGGGCCUGGGGGCUCCGUCGCCGGUGGUGGACGCGGAUCCGGGGGUCCCGUCCCCAUCGCUAAUUGAGGGGCUGGGGGCUCCGUCGCUGGCCGUGGCCGUGAACGUGGAGCUUGUGGUCCUGCUUCCGUCACUCACUGAGGCGCUGGGGGCUCCAUCGCUGGACGUGGCCGUGGGCAUGGAUCUGGGGGUCUCGUCCUCAUCGCCAACUGAGGCGCCGGGAUCUCCACCGCCGGGCACCGAGAUGCCACGAGCCCCGCCCCCACUGCCAGCCGUGGCCGUGGCGCCGGACGCUCCGUCUCUGGCGGCGGCCGCAACUCCGGCCGAGCCCGUGGCCGUGGAGGUGGCGGCCUCGUCCCGGUGGACGGCCGUGGCGCCGGGAGCUCCGGCCGCUGCCGUGGUCGGGGCGGGACGCCCCUCACUCGCUUCCCAGUGAAAACCACCCCACUGUCCGGUCGCCGACCCUCCCCCCGGCCCAGCCACUGUCCAGAGAGAUUCUCACCAUUGUCCAGGCGGGACCCCCCGCACCCGCUGUCCGGUGAGACCCUCUCCACUAUCCAGGCAGGACUCCCUACUCACUGUCCGGUGAGACCCUCUCCGCUGUCUGGCGGGACCCUCACCCCCUUCUGUCCGGUGAGACCCUCUCGGCCUUCCGGACGGGAUCCCCCACACCUUUCGCUGUCCGGUGAGACCCUCUCCGCUGUCCAGACGGGACCCCCGGCCCCUUUUGCUGUCCGGUGAGACCCUCUAGGCCGUCUGGACGGGACCCCCCUCCCCCUUCACUGUCCGGUGAGACCCUCUCCGCUAUCCAGGCGGGACCCUCGCCCCGUCGCUGUCCGGGGAGACCCCCUCCGCCGUCCGGACGGGACCCCCCACCCCUUUAGCUAUCC
rnacentral:lncRNA from 1 species